AUUAGUGGCGAACGGGUGAGUAACACGUGGGCAAUCUGCCCUGCACUCUGGGACAAGCCCUGGAAACGGGGUCUAAUACCGGAUACUGAUCCUCGCAGGCAUCUGCGAGGUUCGAAAGCUCCGGCGGUGCAGGAUGAGCCCGCGGCCUAUCAGCUAGUUGGUGAGGUAACGGCUCACCAAGGCGACGACGGGUAGCCGGCCUGAGAGGGCGACCGGCCACACUGGGACUGAGACACGGCCCAGACUCCUACGGGAGGCAGCAGUGGGGAAUAUUGCACAAUGGGCGAAAGCCUGAUGCAGCGACGCCGCGUGAGGGAUGACGGCCUUCGGGUUGUAAACCUCUUUCAGCAGGGAAGAAGCGAAAGUGACGGUACCUGCAGAAGAAGCGCCGGCUAACUACGUGCCAGCAGCCGCGGUAAUACGUAGGGCGCAAGCGUUGUCCGGAAUUAUUGGGCGUAAAGAGCUCGUAGGCGGCUUGUCACGUCGGUUGUGAAAGCCCGGGGCUUAACCCCGGGUCUGCAGUCGAUACGGGCAGGCUAGAGUUCGGUAGGGGAGAUCGGAAUUCCUGGUGUAGCGGUGAAAUGCGCAGAUAUCAGGAGGAACACCGGUGGCGAAGGCGGAUCUCUGGGCCGAUACUGACGCUGAGGAGCGAAAGCGUGGGGAGCGAACAGGAUUAGAUACCCUGGUAGUCCACGCCGUAAACGGUGGGCACUAGGUGUG
rnacentral:rRNA from 1 species